rnacentral:rRNA from 1 species
GAUCCUGGCUCAGAUUGAACGCUGGCGGUAUGCUUAACACAUGCAAGUCGAACGCGAACACCUUCGGGUACUAUUAGAGUGGCGGACGGGUGAGUAACGCGUGGGAAUUUGCCUGGUUGGGGGACAGCCCGGAGAAAUCCGGAUUAAUACCGCAUACCUUCUACGGAAGAAAGGCCGGCCGCUACCAGAUGAGCCCGCGUUAGAUUAGCUAGUUGGUGAGGUAAGAGCUCACCGGCAACGAUCUAUAGCUGGUCUGAGAGGACGAUCAGCCACAUCGGGACUGAGACACGGCGGACUCCUACGGGAGGCAGCAGUGGGGAAUAUUGGACAAUGGACGCAAGUCUGAUCCCAAUACCGCGUGUGUGAAGAAGGCCCGAGGGUUGUAAAGCACUUUCAGUGGGGAAGAUUGACGUUACCCACAGAAGAAGCACCGGCUAACUCAGUGCCAGCAGCCGCGGUAAUACUGGGUGCAAGCGUUAAUCGGAAUUACUGGGCGUAAAGCGCGCGUAGGCGGUUAAAUAAGAGAUGUGAAAUCCCUGGGCUCAACCUAGGAACUGCAUCUGAAACUGUUUAACUAGAGUUGGAGAGGUAAGUGGAAUUUCCGGUGUAGCGGUGAAAUGCAUAGAGAUCGGAAGGAACCAGUGGCGAAGGCGACUUACUGGCCAAAAACUGACGCUGAGGUGCGAAAGCGUGGGUAGAACAGGAUUAGAUACCCUGGUAGUCCACGCCGUAAACGAUGUCAACUAGUCGUUGGGCCUUGAGGACUUAGUGACGCAGCUAACGCAAUAAGUUGACCGCCUGGGGAGUACGCUCAAGAGUAAAACUCAAAGGAAUUGACGGGGGCCCGCACAAGCGGUGGAGCAUGUGGUUUUUCGAUGCAACGCGAAGAACCUUACCAUCCCUUGACAUCCAGAGAAAUCAGCAGAGAUAGACGUGCCUUCGGGAACUCUGUGACAGGUGCUGCACGGCUGUCGUCAGCUCGUGUCGAGAUGUUGGGUUAAGUCCCGCAACGAGCGCAACCCCUAUCCUUGGUUGCUAACAGGUAGCUGAGAACUCCAGGGAGACUGCCGGUGACAAACCGGAGGAAGGUGGGGACGACGUCAUCAUCAUGGCCCUUAUGGGAUGGGCUACACACGUGCUACAAUGGUCGGUACAAAGGGUCAAACUCGCGAGAGUAAGCUAAUCCCACAAAGCCGAUCGUAGUCCGGAUUGGAGUCUGACUCGACUCCAUGAAGAUGGAAUCGCUAGUAAUCGUGAAUCAGAAUGUCGCGGUGAAUGUUCCCGGGCCUUGUACACACCGCCCGUCACACCAUGGGAGUGGGUUGCACCAGAAGUCUAGACUAACCUUCGGGAGGUCGGUUACCACGGUGUUAUUCAUGACUGGGG